rnacentral:rRNA from 1 species
GUCCUUUUGAUAUUUAUAUAAGGUCUAGCCUGCCCAAUGAUUAAUUUUAAAUGGCCGCGGUAUCCUGACCGUGCAAAGGUAGCAUAAUCAUUAGUUUUUUAAUUGAAAGCUGGUAUGAAAGGUUGGAUAAGAGAAAUACUGUCUCUUAAAAAUUUUAUUAGAAUUUUAUUUUUAAGUUAAAAAGCUUAAAUGAAAUUUAAAGACGAGAAGACCCUUUAGAGUUUUAUAUAAUUGAUUAUAUUUUAUUUUUUAGUAUUAAUUAAGUAGAAUUUAAUUAUUAUAUUUGGUUGGGGUGAUUGAAAAAUUUAUUAAACUUUUUCUUUUAUAGAACAUUAAUUUAUGAAUAUUUGAUCCAAUAAUUUUGAUUAUAAGAAUAAAUUACCUAAGGGAUAACAGCGUUAUUUUUUUAAAGAGUUCAAAUCGAAAAAAAAGAUUGCGACCUCGAUGUUGGAUUAAAAUUAAAUUAUGGUGCAGAAGCUAUAAUUUUAGGUCUGUUCGACCUUUAAAAUUUUACA